UAUAUAUAUAUAUAUAUAUACACGUGUGUAUGGACUUGUGUCUACACCUUACCUUUAAUUUUAGCCUUUUCCACAGUUUCAAAUACAUCAAGUAACUGAAAAGAUAGUGAUUUUCUAUAUGUUUUGGGAGAAUAAAUGUCUAAAUAGAAAGAGGUGCUUAGUAAUGUUCUCAUGAGGAUAUGAAUGUAAAGGGUAAAUGAAUCUGUAUCAAAAAAUCCAUACAGGAGCACCACUGGGACACAAAUCUCUUUGGAAAAGGGCUUUGUAAAGUGCCAGUGUUCUCAGAAUAAUAGUUUAACAUUUUAUGGUUAGUCUUGCUUGAGAUCAGGACUGUAUGAAGACUGUCAAGGUGUGAAGUCAAUAUGUAAAAACUAAAUUGCACUGAAAUCUGGAGGCACCCAUGAAAAACGAGUUGCCUUACUUCAAAGUAGCUUAAUCUUUUCACUUUCAUAUGUAGACAAGCCUUAUACCUACCCUCAUUAGACAGUUGUGGAAAUGUCUGUCACUGCCCUGAGCUGACAUAUCUAAAGAUAUAUUUAGAGAAUGUGCUGAUGUGAUGAGAAAAUGUUUUAAAUGAGAAUGGAAAAGAAGUGACUCCAGCUUUAAAGUAAUCAAAAGAACUACUUGAAACAAGCAUUGAGUAAUCCACAUCUUAAAACUGACAAUUUGGUGAAAAGCAAGAUGGAAACUUAACACAAUUACUUUAAAAAGUAGCAAUAGGAAGGAUUAUGUAUCUUCAGAAUUCUAUAAAAUUAAUAGAUAACAUGAAAUUUUCAUGCUAGUGGUUAUAAAACUACUACUGCUUUCCAAUAGUUGCGCUUUGAAAAAUGAAAGGCUUCAAUCAAGCUGUUCAUUUCUGUGAGUUUAUAUUCAGUGUUUGUAGAGCCAAGAACUAUAAGGGUUUUUUGCAGGAUUUAUAAACAGAUGCCAUUUUUGUUAUUGCCCUCAUUUCAAAAAGUCUUUAACAGAAGUAAAACCAGCUAAAUUAUAACUUACAUCCAUUGGGAAAACUUGUUGCCAGAACAAUAGAUUACUGAUUAAAUUUUAUCACAGAAUUUUUUUCAGAAAUUUUCUAGGUUUCUUAAAAUAUUUUGAGUGUUAGUUGGAAAUUGUAAAAGAACAUAUUUUUGUUUUACAUGUGUUUUUUUAAUAGAAAAUUUUCAAGUGUGAAUUCUUUUUUCAAAACAUAAAUACUUUCCCUUAGGAAAGGGAGAUGGAAAAAAUACUGUGCAAUCCAAUCCCUAAUCUCUUUCUUAAUGGAAGUGUUAGUAAUAGGACUAAAAUAGCAAACAAAAUUAUCCGAUAAUCUUUCAUUGUUUUUUUUUUUCACUAUCUGAAAAUACUUUGAACUUGUUUGAUAGAUUUACACACUUUCAAUGUCACAGUUUUAUACUUCUGUAUCACCAUGUUUUUCUUGGGUAGAACUGCAAUGUGAGGUGUGCACAUAUUAAGAACUAGUUUUAGCUCUUUAUAGCCAAAUGGAAAAUAUUGGUUCAUAGCAAUAACUUUCUGGUCCUUCAGAGAAAAAACAUCAUUAAAAUAUUCCUUCUCAGAUACACUGGAUACAUGUAAAUUAUCUGACAGUUGGCCAAGGAAGUACGCUUGAGGACAAAAUUAUGAGUGAAGAAAAUGAUAAAUUAAAGACUAUAAUUGAGUUUUGAAACUAAUCUGAAGAGUAUUUAAUCUGGAAACUUCAUUUCAUAUAUUUAUUUUAUUGCCAUUUAUGUUCCCAAUAAUGAUUCUGCUGGAAUUUCUACCUCAGAUAUGACAUCAAAGACCUAAUUGCUGAAGGUCACAGAAUGGUCUUUUAUUCUUGCACUAGUUGAGAAUAUUUCAACAACAUGCAGUUUGGGAAAAGAGUCCAUUCAACAAACAAACUGCACCUUUUCCUGUAGGUGAUGGCUACAGGAUUUCAGAUGGCAUUUCAGAUGGCUAUAGCCUUCCAAAAAUCUCAGAAAGAAACUUCCAGUGGUAUGCUUUUAUAUGAUCAAAGGUAAAAAUGGUGUUAUUGAUAAUGCUGCUGAUGUUUUAGAGGAAUCUCCAGGUCAAACCAAGGACUGCAUUCACAACAGCAGACUGCAUCGUUUUAAUUUAUUGCAUAUUCGAAAUGGAAUUGAACACAGCAGGCACACUUUGUUGAGCAUGUCUGAACAACAUCAAAGUCGUUCAUUAUGUAAAUAUUGGAAUGAACCUUUUAAAUUUUAAUUUAUAACCUUAGGUUUUCUCUCUGAACAAAAUAACAUUUCAUUAAAAAUUGCAUUUUUAAUCAAAAUCUAUGUUUUUUGGUUACGAUAACUUCAAGUUCACAAGUUUUGGGCAGCUCUUGAUAUAACUGUGACAUUUUUGUAACUCUGAAGAAAUUUACAAACUAUCAGGUGCAGUGUUUGAUUUGCAAAGAGAAUGUGGCUGAAGUAAUGGUGCAUUUACAUUUUCCAGCAGCUUCACAGGAAAUAUAUGGUGUGCUUUAUGUCACAAGGAGUAAUUUAUUAUAGCUUAUAUGAUAAAAAGCUUAGAAAUCAAACCAGUUAUUGAGAGUUCUGUGCUGUCUAUUUAUUGCCAAUCAGAAAAAGAGGAAUUUAAUACCAAGAGAAAAAAAGGCCAUUUGCACAGCAUUUUGGGUGGAACAUUUAAGCUAAAAUGCAUCCCUAGAAUACUAUUCCAGGGAUGCAUUAUAGUCAUAUGAUCACAGAGUGAUUAAAAAUCCAUAACGGAGUAUUUCUUUUCCAGGUGUACACAUAAAAAGACCUCUUAUCCUUACAAUUUGACUUCCAUCCACUCAAACAAUUUUGUUCAUUAGGUACUGGUGUGGAAGGUAAUGCAUCUAAAAGAAUGAACCCUAUUUUCUGGUACAGGACAGUUCAUUAUCCUAAAAGCUCUUUCAUUAUAUCCCUUAAAUUGAGAAGGCAAGGAACAUCCUGCUUAUGAUUUAGCCUGAGAGCAACGUACGUUCUCAAAAUAAAUGGUGAAAAUGUCUGUAGGUGUGCACACAUGCAUGUGCACAUGCAUGUAGUGGUACUUCAGUUUGCCCUUUAUUGAAGCGGUGAAGCACAAAACAAGUUGAGAGUCAACAAGGUUACAAGCAGAGGAAAUAUCAUUGAAGUUCUGUUCCUCUCUAAUUUUGUACUUUUGUGUAGCAGCUCACUAAAGAAAUAGAGAAAUUUAAAUAUUCAGUUCUCACUUUCAGAUUUAUGUGAAAUAUGAGGACUAGUUUCUAGACCCUGGAAAAAGAGUGAGCUGCUUGCUCAUUCCAACAGUGAAUGAGAUUCUGAACCAAUAUGCUUGAAAUGUGAUAUGUUUUAAGAAGACCAGGAGAAGAGCUGGCAUGCUCAAGAGCUGAUUUGAUUUUGUUUCUCCAGCUGAUACAGUUAACCCUGUAGAAGAAACUUCCUGCCUCUGUAAAUUUUGUCUAAUUCCUGUCUGUUGACCCUUAUCACUAAAAUGAUACUAUUAUUAAAGGUAUUAAAUCAUAUUAUUACUGACUUUCAUUCUUAUGACUUGAGAAUGAAAGCAGGUGCCAGUAAUAACUCCUACACUUGACUUCAGCAAAAUUUUUGUAAUUUGUUCAUAGAUCUUUGUGGGUUCCUUCCAAUUCAGAAUAUUCUGUGAUUUUGUGGCUUUUCUUUUCUUCACACUCUACAAUUGCAAACAAACGUUGCCUUUUAGAACACAUUAUUAUGAAGCACCUGUAUCCUGAGGAAAGGUAUCAAGUCUGUUGUGCAUUUGUUCCUUAUUCUUAAAAAAGCAUGACAAAGUAACUGUAUGAACAAACAAAAGAGACAUAGAUGAAUGUCAUUGCAAGUAGAAAAAUAGUAGCAUGACACAAGUUCACUUGUCUGAGCUGGUGUAGGUCCAUUAAUGUAAAUGGAGUGGUCUUCAUUAGACUGUGCUGAUACCUAACUAAAGACACUGACAGGCUCUCAUCAUUGUGCAAGAAUUUCCUCUGCAUUACCUUUUUUGACCUCCAACUCAUGUUUUACCUUGGUUUAAUAUGCAUGGCAUGAAGUAUCUAAAUUAUCUAAAUAGAUUUAGAAAACUUUACUAAUAAACUGAAAAUUAGGUGAUUUCUUGCUGAUUCUUUUCUUUAUGGCAGGAGUUAGUGGUCUCACUAGUUCCAAUGACAAAUUUGUAAGAAUGUGGGAUGUAGCAUAGAUUUCACCAUGAGUGUGAAACAGCCUAAGCCUCUCAGACAUCCUUUACAUCUGCAUAGUCUGCAGCACUGAUCAGUCAGUGCAUCUAUGGACCAGUCUAGAACAUAAAGAAAUCUAGGCAAAUGCCCACUAGUUUUUUCUCCUUUUACAUUAAAUUUCUUUGUGGAAAUCUGCAAUUAUCUAUGACUGGAAAUGCAUAAUGUAUAAAUUCUGCAUUAUGUAAUUACUUAUAAUUUUAUAUUGUAUUGCCAAAGAGUAGAAGGGGAAAAAGGCAAAACCAGGCUCUCCAGUGAUGUACAAUGGGAUGCCAAAACUGGAGGAAAUGAGCACUAAUGGGAUCCCUCAAUCUGCUUCACCAGGUGUUGGCUACGAAGUACCACACCUGAAAUGUUUCUACACUAAUGCCUGCAGCAUGAGGAACAAACAAGAGGAACUGGAACCUUUGGGCCACUCCCAGAGAUUUGACAUCAUUGGCAUAAGUGAAAGCUGGUGGGAUGAGUCCUGUGACUGGAGUGCCCUGCCAGAUGGUUGCAGGCUCUUGAAGAGGGGUAGGCAGGACAGAAGAGGUGUUGGCACUGUAUGUAAUAGAAGGGUUAAAUCAAGUUAAUUGAGCUCAUUUUCUGACUCAUCUGUCUUCAGGCAACUGCUUCAUGAUUAGACCAUGUCAUAUGCCUUAUUUAAUCAUAUAAGUUAAAUCUUGCAAACUUAACAAUCCUGGUUGCUGGUGAAAAGAUUAAAUGGCCAAAGUUGGGUAUGUAGGAUUUAAAAUAUACUGUAAUUAGACUAUAUUAGGUAUUUUGGAUUUAUGUAGCCUAUGGCUGAUUUUAAAUUUAUUUUGUCCUCAUUGUCCUCUUAAUUUCCUGGUAUGCUGCACAGAUAUGUUAAUUUACUGCUCAAGCUGAAUGUAAGGUCACAGUGUCCCACUUUUGUUUGUAGUUGAUUGCUUAUCACCUAUUCAAGACUCCAUUUCUAUUUACCAUGUGUAUUUGAUGAUUGGGCCUCAGUAAGUCCCUACAAAAGAAUACUGAUCAUGUUUUCUUUUCUCUCUAACAGCUGCUCAGUAAUUUCACAAGAUGUAAUGUAAGUCUAUUCAUGAAGUAAAGUGAGACCCUCUCAGCUCAUGUUGAUUGUGCUCGUGGAGGUGCUCACCAGUCUGUUGAAUACAUUCUGCAAUUAUUAUUAUUAUUUUUUGAAGCAGGCAGACUACAGACUGAAGAACAUAUGAAGUAAAAGUUAAGCCUCUUUGUCUCUUACACAGAAUACACAUGCUGAUUCCCAUAGGAGAGAUGUAGAAUGGAGAGUGAUAAAAAUGAGUUGAUUUGUGUGCCACAUUGAUCUUAGAACUAAUUAAUUCCUUUUAUGAUAAGGACCAUUUGAGAGAUAAACAUUCCAUGUUGUUGGGUGAAAUGGAACGUAAGUAUGGGAAUUCUUUCUCCUUAAGAUGUGUCUUCUAUAUUUUAAAAUGAAGGUAGGUAACAUGUAUAUAUAUCCUUUCUAAUUACUCCUAUAAUGUCUAAAUUUAUGUUUAAAUUAGACACUUGCAGUGUACAUCAAAUACAUUGACCAUUUAUCUACUAUUUUCAUACAUCUCUAAUCUAUGAUAUGUAUUUGUUUGCUACAGUGUGAUUGUAGGAGUUUCUUCUCUGCCAAGAUGCUAAAAUAAAUGUUUGAAAAUAUUAUGAUUCAUGUGCCAAGGUUUACUUCCAAGAUCAUGCUAGCAGCUUCGCAGUGGGAAUACCUUUUCUUAAAAAAAAGAAGAGAAUGAGUAUCCAAGUCACUUUUAUGUCACAUCCAGUGAAUAAUGUAAAAAAACUUAAAAAAUGUAUUUAUUUUGUCAAUAAGAGUAGGGAAAAAAAGGGUAGGAUGUUGCAAGUAGGGAAGAGAUUUAUAUGCAGGUUCUUUAAAUUAGAAGGGAAACAUUACAGCAUUAUCUUCAGAUGCUUAGCAUUUGAAAACUUAUGUUUAUGUUUCUUACAUGUGGAAAAAUGUCUGAAGUUAAAUACUUUUCACAUGUCUAGGCCAAACUUUCAGAAUAAAUCCCGUAGGUGAGCAGUUGUGCAGUUAGUUCAAACUAUUGCUACGUAUCUUACAAAUUAAAUUUACAAAGCUUCAAAUUUCUUCCAGCUCAGUCUGUCUCAGAACUUAAUAUUUUAAGGACAGAUCUAAUAUGGACUUAAAUGUUAGAUUACCCUAAGCCAAAAUUGCAAAACUAAUUCCUCCUUGCAGAGUGAAGAAUUCUAAGUUUUCUACAGAUAUAGUGAUACAGCAAGAAAUAUAGUCUCUGGUGAUGGGGAUGAUCAGGGAAGCAGAAAUUUAGUAUGCAGUGCCUGACUUGGAGUCUAGUAGCUAUGGAUAUAAGUGCAGAGCAUUGAUUUCCAUGGUCCCAGGCCUGUUUAUACAUUUAACAUGAAAAUUUUUUCAUUUAAAUAUUGAAGUAACUGGAAGGAAACAGAAUUCACCUCUCCUGUUUCUGAUCAGCUUUACAGAACUCUUUAAGCAGAAAGUCAUAACUGUUCUUGCAGGCAAGGGAAAUUGUUGAGCUUUGCUACUGACUAAAAAACUUUGAACCACUUCAAAUGGAAAGAAAAAGACCAUAAUUCUACCUAAACCAGGAUACCUUGAUGGCUCUGGCAUUCUUGUGUGUUUGCAUGUUUCCAUAAGACAAAAAGGCAUCUCUGCUAUUAGAAAGGGGAAGAGCCCUGUAUUCAGAUUAAUAAUUACUGCGUUGAGACUGCCAUGUAUUGAUCUUGCCUAUUGGAGAUUAAUAACAUGACAAUUCCCUCCAUUUUCUCUUAAUAGAAGGAAUCACAAUUUCCCAGAGAAAUUGCAGAGAGUGCUUCCAGCAUAAGAGAAGCAAUACACAAAGCUUUCCUUAGAGCUCUUUUCCCUACCAGUCCCGGACUCAUUCCUUCUUGCUCUCAAUUUACACUCACUCUUCUUCUUUAAUAAUACCUAAGACCCCACAAUUUACUUGAAACAGCAACCUGAUACUUGUUUCUGCCUCAAGUGUCAAGCAUUUAAGUCAGAAGCUGCAGCAGCUAGAAAGUUUAUGAAAUUGAGUUUAGCAGGGGUUUUGGGUGAGCAUCACUGGAUUUAGGGCCUGGAAACCUACCUGUGACCAUUUUCACACCUAUUUACUAUUUUAGCACUGAAAAUAUUUCCCUUUGAUAAAAUAUAUAGAAGAUAGCUAGCUCUAAAACAAAUGCAGCAAAAAUUCCCUAUGCUUUCUUAAUAAUAAGUUAUUAAGGCAGACAUUAUUGUUAUAUGAGUGGAGAUUAACUCUUGGACCUAUUUUAUGAGAUUCAGCCUUUUAUCUCUAAAUUUCUUUUUUCUAUUAUAGCCUCUGACAUUACGAGUUAGGUAAAAUUUUAUAUAUAAAAACACUGAAUUAAUCAGUGUUCAUUCCUAUGAAAGGGAAUGAAAAGAUUUAUUGAUCUCUUUAUUAAAGAAUAGCAUGAACAUAACAUGACUGAAAGUAUGUUGAAAUAAUUUUUAAUGAGUUUUGCAUCCUGACACUACAAUAUAUUUUUUUUCUGAAAUUUAAAACACUCCUGGAAAUAAUUGCUAUCAGAUCCUUCUCCCUUUGUUCUUUAGAUUUCUAUGUGCUAUCUUUUACUUGGCAGAUGUGUGUGUAUACACUCAAAAGUGAGGAAUAGGAAAAAUGAGUUGAAGGAGGUGGAUUUAAAGCUGCAAUCAAUUAAUCUGUUGCUAGGGAACUGUCAGCUGCCCACUCACAAAAUAGCAGUCAGCUGGCUGCAGUUAGGAGCAUAUAAAAUGGAAGUACAAAACAUUACAGCUCUCUCUAUUCUUAUUGAUUUUUUAAAAAAAUUAUUUUAUUAGUGCUGUUUUUAUGAAGGAAAAAGGAAGGAAAGUUUGAUAGCAAAGGUCAAAAUGUCAUACAUAUUUCGGUCUUAGUUGACAUGCUUAAUUAACUGACUGCAGGAGUUUGGGUUCAUAUUUGGCUAUGUUUAUGUUUAUCACUCAAUUAAUAUGGAGUGGAGUGGUGCAGUAUGUGGAAAUAAUAACAGAAGAGCAUAUUUGACCACACCAGGUUAGUCUAAUGUGGUCUGAUUGGGGAAUACUUUGAAAAUCCUAGGCAUUUAAUGGAAUGCCAGUUAAUUCAAGCUUGAUGAAAUUCAAAGAGUGAGGUGUGGCUGAUAAAGAUAAGCCACAUAGAUACACACAGAAGCAGAAGAUUUCAUUUUACUCAGAACUCACUCAAGUGUGUGAGGUUUUUCAGACUUAAAACAGAAUUCCCCAUCUAAAGUUCCAAUGGGAUUUUUGAUUCUGGCAAAGCAUCUCUCACAUGUGUUUCAGGCUUGUUUUGCUUGUUCUGGAAGAAAGGGCCUUGUUUUGAAAAGACUUUCAUAGUGUUUUUGAAGAUUUUAAAGAAAUAUUAGCAUAGAACCUUCUUUAAACAUAUUUUUUCUGUAAUAUUUGGUGUUCAUGGUUUUCAACGUUAAUGUUAAAGACUAAGGCGAAGCACCAUGAAAAUUUUUCUUAUAACUGUCUUGGUGCUUUCAUGGUCAUGUGAGGCAGAAUACAAUGAUACAUCCUGAACAAUGUUCUUAUAUGGCUUCUACUGGGAGAGGAUAAAAAGCUAGAUCAGAUUUUGACAUUUCCUACUCGUCUUACCAUUUAUAUUCUUGCUUUCAUUUCUACAUAUGUUGAUGUAUGGGAGAGGCAAAAAGUAGCAAAAGAUAAGAUGGAGGACUUGGCUUUGGUCAUUCAAUCAUCCAACUACCUUUGGUCUCCUACAUACCAGCUGUAGGAAGCCCUGGUAUUUAGAGCUCUGUGUCUGCAAUUUUAAUGCUUCAUCCACACUUAGAAAUAAUAAUUAUUGUCAUGUGUGCUUGGCAGGAAUGAACCAACUUAAAUGCGAACCACCAGCCUGUGAGCUCUGUGUAUGCCUUAUACACUAGAUCUCUUGAUGAUUACCUCAUUUGCUUGUAAGCUGGUGCUCAAGAGUAUGCCAAGACUGGUGCAGUUAUAAGAAUUUCUCAUACUGGAAGCUGAUGGCUUAUUCUAAAGCAUUGAUUACCAAGCCUGUUCUAGGCUAUGAACCCAAAGAGAAGAGGAGGAAUAAAGGCAAUUAAAUCAUAACUGGAGGCAUCUAAAAAGUGCUGGAGAAAGAGAGUAAUCUUUAUAAUCUGCAUGUCAAAUGAGAAGGAAUGCAGUUUCCAGUAUAAAGCCUAGGGAUAAAGAAAUAGAAAUAUAAAUGACAAAAAAUUUUGACCUGUAGUACUUGAGGCUAGAGGGUGUUUGGUGCAUGUGUUUGAUUAUUUACAUGUGUUUAUUACAGUAUUUUCAAUUAGGAUAAGUGAAGAAACACUGACCGGCAAAAUCCUCAAAAACUUAGGGGCUGCAGCAGAGAUGCAUUUCCUAUUAUAAUGUAGAAAUGUUUCUGGCUCUAAUAAAGUACAUUAAAAAGUGC